GACUUGACUAGAACUUUGGCAAUUAAAAGGUUCUUGCAUAUUGAAAGGUAAUAAUACAAGAUGGACUCUUUAUUCAACCUUAUGACAAAACAAUUGGAAGAAAGCACGACACAAGUGUGCAAAGAUACUAGGUAUGCUUGCUUGUUGGGUGGAAGAUCCAAAUGGAGAAGCUUUGAAAAAGCAUCUUGCUAGAAUCCCAGAUUAUUUAUCGGUUUCAGAAGAUGGAAUGACCUUGCAGGUUUGUUGUUGUUGUCAACUGGUGGAAUGAAUUUGCUAAAGAUGUCAUCAACGAAAUGUGUUGGAGGCUUGUUGGUAACAACUUGUAGUGAUAUACGUACUAGCUCAUCAAUUGGAAACACCUGCAAAUACCGACACUAUUAAAGAAAGUGGUCAAAACAAGUUAACAACAGGAAUCAAAACAUGGCAAUAUUAUUAAAUUUAGAUGGCCAUACAAGUUAUCAAUAGGAAUCAAAACACAUGAAACCAGAAUCAUUUGAAACAACACAACACAACCUAUAUGAUCAAUUCCACCUUCAAACCAAAAUAUUUGGUACAAAUUUCAAUAACAUUGUGUGUGACAAUGUGAAUUCUUUUUCAUCCUUUUGAAAGCUUUAACUAUUUAUAAGUAUGAAAUGUUUUUUAUUUUGUUGAUAUAGCCUUGGCACUGCCCAUAAAACAUCAUCUUGAAGCUAUAUAAAGUAAAUUGUUAUUCAUCAUUACUCGUUAUUGUAAAAUUUAUAUUUUCCAAUUCAUACAUGUAAUCUAAUUUAUAACACCACAAAGCAUGAAACCAUUCUUCCAAGUCAUAAUAAUCUCCCCAUACCUUUUUUGAUUUCUUCCCUUACUCCAAAAAUCCUACUUUCCCUUUCCAUCUUUGUCUCCCAAUUCUAACAUCUCCUCUCUGAUAUACCACCGCUCCCUCUCUCGGUGUUUCUCACUGCCUCAACUACCACUAGCAGGUAUUGCCCAGCCAGUAACGUCUGGACUCAUUGGAUUCCCUUUCUUCAAUGUUUAACGUCAAUUUGAGAGGGUAUAGGGACAUCUGGAAAAAUUACAAAACUCACACAAUUGAAAAAAAAAAAUCACUACCACCAUCAAUCCAACCAAAUAUGAGAAAACCCAAAAUGAAAAUAAACAACAUAAUGUGAGAGAAGAAAAGGGAUUCAUCGCACUCAAAUAAUAAAUUCUAUCGAAAUCAGUUUCCCCAACUCUAUAGCAAGCCGACAUUACUAAUAUAAUGUGAGCAUCACAUAUUUAGCUAUAUAUAAUUGAAUAGGUCUAGUCUAAAUUCUACAUCUCUAAUUUACUAAUUAGGAUUUUUGAGUAUGAAGCAAAAGAACAAAAAUAUUCUGCAAAAACUGAGUUAAUCCUAUCAAAACUCCAACUUUGAGUUAACGCAAAGAGGUUUAGCAAAACAGGAAGUAAUAAAUUUACUGAUUGAAAGAAGAUUUCAAACUGAAGAGCACAAAUGAAAACCCCUUAAAGCCUAAACCAUUAACUAAAGGCAUGAGAAACACACGUUCAAGCAGUCCAUCAGUUAUCAAAACCAAAACAAAUUUAAUGUGCAUUGAAAACAUAGAGAACUCACAACUUUCUCGAGGUAUAUAGAACAAGGAAAACAAAAUGUCCGGGCCCACGAUAUUACGAUUACAAAUUCCAAACAGUGAAAAAAGGUUGAUUAAGAAGAUUGAGAAAAACCUUAAUAUCCCAUUAACACACAAAACUCAGAAAGAAGGGAAAAGCUACAAUGUGUAAGACCUGCUGAAUAAUGGUAGAGGGG
rnacentral:sRNA from 1 species